UGAAUUCGAUGAAGUGCUUACUGCAUUUUUUCUUACACAUGUGUUUUUCUUUUUUUGAAAACUUUGCUUUGGUAGGCCUUCUAUAUGGGGCCUGCCAGAGAUUAAACUCAACCAAAUUUUAUUUAAUGUCAACCGAUUAUUUAAUAGUCAAAACUUUCAACAACGGAUCUCUUGGUUCUCGCAUCGAUGAAGAACGCAGCGAAAUGCGAUAAGUAAUAUGAAUUGCAGAUAUUCGUGAAUCAUCGAAUCUUUGAACGCACAUUGCGCCCUUUGGUAUUCCAAAGGGCAUGCCUGUUUGAGCGUCAUUUCUCCCUCAAACCCUCGGGUUUGGUGUUGAGCGAUACGCUGGGUUUGCUUGAAAGAAAGGCGGAGUAUAAACUAAUGGAUAGGUUUUUUCCACUCAUUGGUACAAACUCCAAAACUUCUUCCAAAUUCGACCUCAAAUCAGGUAGGACUACCCGCUGAACUUAAGCAUAUCAAA
rnacentral:rRNA from 1 species